AGCUCCAAUAGCGUAUAUUAAAGUUGUUGCGGUUAAAAAGCUCGUAGUUGGAUUUCGGCGAUCAGGGGCCGGUGAUAUAUUUGUAUCUACUGGCCCAUUUGGUCGUAUUUUUGAAAGAGGGUUUGGGGUCCCCUUCACUGGGUGUCCUAGGUCGCUUUCAGGUUUACUUUGAAAAAAUUAGAGUGCUCAAAGCAGGCUUUAACGCUUGAAUAUUCGUGCAUGGAAUAAUAGAAUAGGAAGUUUGGUUUCAAUUUGGUGGGUUUAGGAUAACGAAGUAAUGAUUAAUAGGGACAAUCGGGGGAAUUAGUAUUAAAACGACAGAGGUGAAAUUCUUGGACUGUUUGAAGACGAACUACUGCGAAAGCAUUUUCCAAGAAUGUUUUCA
rnacentral:rRNA from 1 species